GGCGCGGAAGGUGUUCGGGCUUAUGGCCCGAAGGUCGUAGGUUCAAAUCCUGCCCCCGCUA
rnacentral:tRNA from 1 species